ACAGUGGUGGCUUAGUGGUAGAAUUCUCACCUUCCAUGUGGGAGACCCAGGUUUGAUUCCCGGCCAAUGCA
rnacentral:tRNA from 1 species